GCAGUGGUGCUUCAGUGGCAGAACUCUUGCCUUCCAUGCAGGAGACCCAGGUAUGAGUUCUAGCCAAUGCA
rnacentral:tRNA from 1 species